rnacentral:misc_RNA from 1 species
GAUGAAGGAACGUAGCGAAAUGCGAUAAGUAAUGUGAAUUGCAGAAUUCAGUGAAUCAUCGAAUCUUUGAACGCACCUUGCGCUCCUUGGUAUUCCGAGGAGCAUGCCUGUUUGAGUGUCAUGAAAUUCUCAACCUUUCUGGCUUUUGCUAGUCAGGCUUGGAUUAUGGGAGCUGCUGGCUUUUGAAGUCGGCUCUUCUAAAAUGUAUUAGCAAGAUCAUUGCUGCUCAUCAUUGGUAUGAUAAUUAUCUAUAUCAUUGAGAGUCAGUUUCCUUUAUUGGAAGAUUUUGCUCCUAACGGUCUUUAGCAAGACAACAUUUGACGAUUUUGACCUCAAAUCAGGUAGGACUACCCGCUGAACUUAAGCAUAUCAAUAAGCGGAGGA